AUGAAUAUACUUGCAUGGAAUUGCUGGGGGGUAGGGAACCGUCGGACAGUUCGUGAAGUUUUGGCCCUCUCACAAGCCAACUCCCCAAAGCUUUUCUUUUUGAGUGAAACAAGACAGGAUGCUAACAAAGUUCAGAAGAUUAAGUGGAGACUAGGUCUGAAAGGUUUUUGUGGUGUUUCAAGCAAUGGUCUGAGUGGGGGUUUGGCCCUUUAUUGGGAUGAAUCUCUACAAGUUUCAGUUCUUGACUCUUGUUCCCGAUAUAUUGAUGUAAUGAUUGAUGAUAAUACCUGUGGUGUUCGAUGGAGACGUACCUUUGUCUAUGGAGAACCUCGCGUGGAGAAUAGGCAUUUGAUGUGGGACCAUCUAACAAGGCUUUGGAGUGUUUCAGAUGACCCCUGGAUGGUGUGUGGCGAUUUUAAUGAGGCUAUGUAGCAGCAUGAGCACUUCUCAAGGUCCAUGCAUGCUGAAAAUCAAAUGAUAGCUUUCCGAGAUGCCCUGACAGAUUGCGAACUAUGGGAUCUUGGAUUUCUUGGUGCUCCCUUCACUUAUGAUAAUGGGCAGCGCGGCAACACAAAUGUUCGUGUGAGACUCGAGCGCGCUUGUGCGGACGAGGCAUGGAAGGAGCUGUUCCCUUUUGCUCAAGUGAUGCAUCUUGAAUCUUCACGCUCAGAUCACCUACCCAUUGUAGUGCAACUGGUUCCUGACGUAAAUAACCAGCGACGCCGGGCUUGCCCUCGGUACGAAAUAAUGUGGGAGAGGGAUCGCUCACUCCCGGAGGUGGUAGCACAUGUGUGGGCAAGUAAACGUCCAGAUGGUGACCUGGGUACUGUUGCGUCGUCCUUAAAGGAGUUGAUGUAUGAUCUAAAAUAA
rnacentral:rRNA from 1 species